rnacentral:ncRNA from 2 species
CUUAUUCAACGGGGGUGCUGUUUUAUGAACGGCUGAGAACAUACCCAAUGAACCUGAUGCAGGUAAUUCUGACGCAGGGAAUUCAGCUAUCUUUUGU